GUUUUUUAAUUCUAAAUUUUGAUCUAGGGAGCCCUCAGACAUAAGGAGAAACCAAUAUGUUGAAUGAUGGGGUAUUACAUACAGAAGGACCAAGACCUUAUUUUCUCCUACUUAAGAUGGAAUCUUGUUAAGAUGAAAGGACAGCUUUUUAAAAGGAGAAGGUCAUAAGACAGUUUGAGGAAGGCAUUGGAAGAGGAAGAGGGGCAAUGUCUCCUUUGUUUUAUUGUUGGUAUAUAAACUUAAAAUCUCAGUUCUUUUUAUGGCACUUGUGGAGCCACUUCCUCUCCUCACCAAAAAAUGCCCAGUACCCUGAAUCCGAUCAAAUUACUCUCCUAAAGUAUAAGGCUUAGUUUCUGUGUGCUGCUUCGCGAGACAGUUCCCACAAAUCGAGAGUGUUAAUCAGACUUUUGUGUUUUCUUUUUUGGAUUGCUGUUGUUUGUUUUCAUUUAUCAUUUGUCUUUGCCUAAGCCAGGCUCAUCAAGAAUUAACAGCCAUCAGGCUGCCGAUGUGCUGACAGCAGACCCACUUAGAGUCCUGUGUUUGUAAUUCCAUGCAUUUGUUAUUUUACCUGUUUUGUCCCUGCCCCUUCUAGUCCUGUGCCUCCUGAUUGCUGAGUGUUCACCUGGACCUUCUGACUACCUUCCCUGUGCUAUUCCAUCAGCCUACAGACCUGGUACCUGGAUUUUUGCCCGAGAUGAUUCCUACCACCUUACUACUGACGAAGACACCCAUUCCAGUGGACCACUGUGACCCAGGAGGCAUUCAGCCAUCAUGAUGUGGCCUUUACCUCCACUCCUGUCUUGUUCUACCCAGAUUCAGCACAGCCCUUUAUAGUGAAGUCAGAGUCCUCAAGCCAAAUAGCUAAAGCUGUUUUAUCACAACAAAGGCCUAGUUUGUUCCAUGAGUGUGCAUUUCAUUUCUUCAGUUAAAGCCUUCAGAGACACACAAUAAAUUUGGACCAGGGGAUUUUUUAGUUAUUAAUGCUCUCUGAAGAAAGGCAACAUCUUUUUGAGAGCAGCAUUGGACCACACCCCACAAUCUCAAAUGAUUGAAAUUCAUGAACAUCUAGGAUCCCGUGAAGGUCACUGGACCCUGUUUUUUCUACUUCAAAUCCUGUAGUAGCCUACUGAAUGAGAAAACAUAUUCUGACCCAUUGGGAUCAAAUCAAAGGCACAGUGAACUCCUCAUAGCAUCUUCUUUGGAAUUACUCAGGAACCAGAACUUUUUACACAAAUGUAAGAAAUUCUACCAAGGAGUCCCCUUACCUAACAGCAUCUCACAAGGCUGCACCAGAUUCCAGAAAAGGCUUCUCUUGAUACAUCAAGGUAGAACCUCUAUGCAUUUUGUGACCGACUUAUUCUUAGAUCAUUGGUUUUCCAAAGGCUUUGUGGCCAUGAAGCCCUUUGAGUGAAAACUGUGCAGAAGCCCAGAGUAAAAGUGAAGCUGCUCUGGAUGAAGUAGUGAAGCAAGAGUAGGGGCCUGAAUCCUGCUACAACUAUCUUCCUUUACCACCGUGGUGACACCUAAGGGGACUUCCUUACAACACCUUGAACUCUUCCGAACACAGUUUGAAAACCACUGCCCCAGACAGCAAUAUGUUUGACCUGAAUGGCAUUCCAAUCUUUUCUGUACCUCCACUCAGCACAGUUCAUGUUCAGUAGAUGCUGAACAUUCUUAGAAAUACUGUGUGUGAACUUAGAAAAGUGCAAGAAGACAGGCAUGUCUUUGACCCCAGGAAUGAUCAUUUGCUGAAGAUGGUGUCAAGUGAACCUAGAUUAACAGCCCUCCACUCCAGAUGGAUAUCCAGUGAUUCCUAGAAUGGGAUAUAGCCAGAGAACAAUUCUAUGCACCCUACACUGACAGACUCCCUUAAGCAACACCAGAUGCUCUACUGGUACUUGAAGUACAUGACUUUGAAGUCUUGACCCUCCAUGAAUACCUGAAUUAUCAGCAAGCGGGUUUUGAAGCUGGUGCCUCAUUGAGGCCAUAUUAGAGCAACUUGUACAUUUGACCUCUUGUUAUCAGCCAUGGUACUCUACUUCGUGUGCAAGAGAUAACUAUGAAAGCCAAAUUCAAAUACUGGCAACAUUUCCUAAAGGGGCUCAAUAUCUAUCAUUCGUCUUCUUUUCCAAACUACACAUCACUGUAUGACUCAACCAGUAGCAGUUAUAUUGCCCCUUGGUUUUUAUUCAGUUUAACUACUGUUUCCAAGAUAAAUGAGCUAAUAAGCUUUAAAAAAAAAAAAAAAAAAGGCUGAAUUCUUUUUUCUUCAUCACUGGCAUAUCUGCCUAUUCUCCAGAAUUAUUAUGACUAUUCAGCUCACUUUAACAGUUGAACUUCAAGCGACAAUCUUUGAACACCCCUUCUCAUGUGAUUUAAAAUGAAACCAUUUGGAAAAGUUUCUUCUAGCCAGUAAUAGAUUUUUUUUUUAAUUGCUCUGCCUUGUGCCGAGAGAUGUUCUUUUAAGAUGAAUCUUUUGAUGUCUGAUACCACCAAAUAUAGGUGGUAGGGAGAGUUGGAGGCUGGCCCUUUGAGCAGGCCAUUAGCUUACUUGCUGGGCAUUUCCGAUAGCUUAUUGCCUACCUUUUUGCUGGAAACAAACUGAUUUGAAAAACAAAAUCUAUGAAGACUGCAGCUAAGGAUUUUAUCGGUAGACUUAAGAGCUUUUGUCCUUGUGGAUAUUUUAGUGGAACCACAUCAGUCUCAAUACUGUCAUUUUACACUGACUCAGAGCAGCUGACUUCAUUCCUUGCCAUGAUAUAUAUUUAAGGCAGGCAUUGUAACAGACAUAAAGACAACUUAUCUGUUUCAGCAGGAAGGAUUCAGUUUAUGAACUCUCAGACCAGAUCAUGUUGAACAAGGAGACUUUGAUGUGUGUCAUGAGAAAACUCAUUCUUUACUUCCCAGUCAAUUUAAAGGCCAGCUAUCCUGAGCUACUCGAAUGAAUGCACUGGUUAAACAUUGGAAAUAGUUUGUUUAUAUCCUUGUCUCUCUCUAGGCCAAUUGUGAUUACAUGACUCGACUCUACAUCUCGUCAAACAAGGCCUAGGUCUGGUUGCUGUAGACUGCUCGCCCUCAACAAAUAAAAUCUGGUUGACUAGCCUCCUUGUAUAUACAACUAUUAUUUGUUAAGAAGAAAUUAUCGUCAAUUUUCUACUACCUUCCAAUUGUCAGCUCUUUUUUUCCUCUCUGGUUUUUCCUAUACUUUACAGAAAAAGACAUUGAUCUAUACUGCCAUUCCCUCUAAUCCUGCCAUACUCAGUCAAAAGGAAUGACUUAAGAUGAAGAUGAUCAUCUGCUCGAGUCUAAAAUAUACAUUGUAUAUAAGAAUUGGUGAUUAGAAAAGCAAAAAACCUAAAACUUAAAUCUAGGAGUCUGUAUACUGUCUCCAUGUCUCCAUGCCUCAGAUCUCAUCUAAAUCUUUGAACAGCACCAUUCAACCAAUCUGAGGCCUUGACUUGCUUGUAAGAUGAUUCUCAGAGAUCGGCUGAGUUAAAAAAGAUGACGACUUGAUUACCAAAGAAAGUAGGGCCAACUUUGACAAAUCUGGCUCUGCUGACCCUGUCACUCCCAGAUGUAGCAUAGACUCCUAAACAGAACCUCAAGUCUGAUUGAGGAUAAGGCCUUCUCCUGAGCUGAAAGUUCUUUGGCAGAUGAGCAAGAAACUGAAAGCUGAUGUACCUGACUGGCUCUGUAAGAUCAGAAAACUGUAUCCAGAAUAAGCCCUAUGGAUUAACCCCUGAGUACCCAGAGUAAAAACUAAUUUACAGAACUUCCUUAUUGAUCUGCUGGUUCUUCCAGAUCAUAUUCUGGCUAUUGGUAUGGCUGGCCUUUCUGAAGGUACCCUGCUUGUCUAUUUUCCUGACUCAGCUCUUGCCUGCCUUUUUCACAUGUUGCUGCAAUUAGACUCACCGUGAGGACUACAGUCAAUUUCAGUCUAUCUUGUGCCCAAUACAACAAGGAUUUUUAAUAGUAACAACCCACACCUCACCCACUAGGACUCAAUGUUCACAACAGGAAGGACCAUUGCUGCAUACUCCUUGACCAGCAACUUUUUUGAAGAUAUUUUUAAGUGCAGAGUAGGCCUCUAUUCCUGUAUGUAAUUGUUCAUUUUCAGCACCUGGAACCUCAUCUAUCGGGUCUGGAAGGAAUACAGCAGUUCGAAAGCCGCGUCCAUUUCUCUCCUUCAGUAGUGCAGAAAUGAGUCCGAUUCACCAGUACACACAGAACUGUACCAGUUCAACCUAGCAAAAGAAGAAAAGUUUCCACUGUACUUAAAAUUUACAGCUGACUCAAAUUGCCUCACAGAAUUAUUUGAUGUAGAAGGCUAGUUGUCUUACUUCAGAUCAGCAGGACAGUUGGGCUCUCAGACUCAUGACCACUGAGUUUGCUUGUGUUGAAACUGUGGUUUCAUCCAACAUAUGCUAUUGGACAUGAUUAUUAUUCCAUUCAAAUGGAUUACAGACUUCUUGAGGACAGGACAAACUUAUCUCUCAUGGUGUUUUUUUAGAAUACUUUUAUAACCAAGGAAGAAACCAUGCCAGCUGUUACCAUUCAACUUCUUAAGCAGAGAUUAAGCUUUUUCAUAUCUGUUCUUAUCCUGGACAUCAGUAGUUUUUAAUUGCCCAGCAUCCGUUCCAUCUUGUAACAACUCCCUGAUGUUUCUUAAAACCACCUCUUCCUAUUUUCAGUCUGUGGUUUGGACAGUCUGACCCAACCUUGAGCUUUGUGGGUGAACAUGUAAUUCAGACCUCAUCAAUCAGCAAAUCCAUCUGAACUGUGGAGGAGAAGCUCUCUUUACUGAGGGUGCUUUAGCUUUGUAGGAUGAAAACCUCAAACUAACAGGGCCUACCAUGUAGAGAAUGAAGCCAGUGCAGGGGAAAGCAGAGCCAAAAUAUGGAGAGACUUGAAUCCUGAUGACAGCGUUUGUGCCCCUGGAUCCAACCGUGCCUGAAGCUAGAAUAUCCCCUGGACUUUUCAGUUAUGUGAACCAAUAAAUACCCUUUUUUGCUUAAGUUACUUUGAGUUGGGUUUCUGUUACUUGAAAUUGAAUCCACACUAAUAUAUCUACCAACAUUGAGACUUGACAGAUCCAAGUAUUUAUUAAGCUAGAGGUCAUGGUCACUGAAAUUACUUUCCAAAGUGGAAGACAAAAUGAAACAGGAACUGAGGGAAUAUUUAAGAUCCCACAGAAGCGUAAAAAUGACAUGGUAGAAAGUAAUAGAAAACCUAAAUGUCUGUCAUUAAAGGAUAGGUUAAGGUGUGGUUCAGCCAUAUAGGAAUAUCUCGUAUCUGUUAAAAUGAAUAAAGUACAUUCAUUGUGUAUGGAAAAAUGGCCAUGAUACAUUAGGUGAAACAAGUUAUUAAUAGAAAAGUGUACAGUGUGAACUCAUUUUAAAAUGUGUGUGCUUAUGUUUAUAAAUGCAUAGAAAGGUCUAUUCACAGCUUUCUUUGAACAGUGUAGAUCACAUGAAACUUUCAACUUUAUACAUUUCUGUAUUAAUAUUUUACACUACCCACAUUAUUUUUAAACUUUAUUUUAAAUAAAGAAUUUUUAAAAU
rnacentral:lncRNA from 1 species